CCUACGGGAGGCAGCAGUGGGGAAUUUUGCGCAAUGGGGGCAACCCUGACGCAGCAACGCCGCGUGAGUAAUGAAGGCCUUCGGGUCGUAAAGCUCUGUCAGAGGGGAAGAAAUGCAGGUGGUGAACAACCAUUCUGUUUGACGGUACCCUCAAAGGAAGCACCGGCUAACUCCGUGCCAGCAGCCGCGGUAAUACGGAGGGUGCGAGCGUUGUUCGGCAUUAUUGGGCGUAAAGCGCGUGUAGGCGGUUUGUUAAGUCUGAUGUAAAAGCCCCGGGCUCAACCUGGGAAGUGCAUUGGAUACUGGCAGACUUGAGUACGGGAGAGGAGAGUGAAAUUCCCAGUGUAGGAGUGAAAUCCGUAGAUAUUGGGAGGAACACCGGUGGCGAAGGCGGCUCUCUGGACCGAUACUGACGCUGAGACGCGAAAGCGUGGGGAGCAAACAGGAUUAGAUACCCGGGUAGU
rnacentral:rRNA from 1 species